CUUCCACAAUGGGUGCAAGCCUGAUCCAGCAAUGCCGCGUGAAUGAAGAAGGUCUUCGGGUGGUAAAGUUCUGUUGUCCGUGAAGAACUAAUUGUGGUUUACCCGUGAGGAUAAUGACGGUACCUGAAGAAAAAGCCCCGGCUAACUACGUGCCAGCAGCCGCGGUAAUACGUAGGGGGCAAGCGUUGUUCGGAAUUAUUGGGCGUAAAGGGCGCGCAGGCGGUUUGAUAAGUCUGAUGUGAAAUCCCGGGGCUUAACCCCGGAAGUGCAUUGGAAACUGGCUAACUUGAGUACAGAAGAGGUGAGUGGAAUUCCUAGUGUAGCGGUGAAAUGCGUAGAUAUUAGGAGGAACACCAGUGGCGAAGGCGGCUCCUUCCUGGUCUUACUGACGUUGAGCGGAAAGCUGGACACC
rnacentral:rRNA from 1 species